UGAGGGGGGGGAGACCGGGCGGCCCUGACGCGAUGGCGACGCCGCCGCCCCCGGUGCCCCCGGUGCCCCCGGUGCCCGAGGGGGCCUGCCCGCCCGCCGAGCCGCUGUCCGAUGUGAGGAAGGCGGGUUACCUGAGGAAACCCAAGAGCAUGCACCGGCGCUUCUUCGUGCUGAGGGCGGCCAGCGAGCUGGGCCCGGCCCGCCUCGAGUACUACGAGAACGAGAAGAAAUGGAGGCAGAAGGCGGGCGCGCCGAAGCGCUCGGUGCAGCUGGAGAGCUGCUUCAACAUCAACAAGAGGGCGGACUCCAAGAACAAGUACCUGGUCGCCCUGUACACCCGGGACGAGUACUUCGCGGUGGCCGCCGACUGCGAGGGUGACCAGGAGAGCUGGUACCGGGCCCUGCUGGAGCUCCAUAACCGGGCCAAGGUGCCUGAGGAGCGGGCUGACAGGGACACCGCCGGGCCCCCGCUCUCUCCUGAGGAGGGGACCGGGGAAGCGAGCCCAGGGCCCGCCUUUAAGGAGGUCUGGCAGGUGGUGCUGAAGCCCAAGGGUCUGGGUCACAGUAAGAACCUGGUGGGUAUAUACCGGCUGUGCCUGACCAACAAGACCAUCAGCCUGGUCAAACUCAACUCGGAGGCAGCCGCCGUGGUGCUGCAGCUGAUGAACAUCAGGCGGUGCGGGCACUCCGAGAAUUUCUUCUUCAUUGAGGUGGGCAGGUCGGCGGUGACCGGUCCCGGAGAGUUCUGGAUGCAGGUCGACGACUCGGUGGUGGCCCAGAACAUGCACGAGACCAUCCUGGAGGCCAUGAAGGCCAUGAGCGAGGAGUUCCGGCCGCGCAGCAAGAGCCAGUCGGCGUCCAGCUCCAACCCCAUCUCGGUGCCCCUCCGGCGGCACCUCAAUAACCCACCGCCCAGCCAGGUGGGCCUGAGCCGCCGCUCCCGGACCGAGAGCGUCACCGCCUCCGCCACCUCGCCGGCCGGCAAGCACAGCUCGUUCCGGGUGCGGGCCUCCAGCGACGGCGAGGGCACCAUGUCCAGGCCGGCGUCAGUGGACGGCAGCCCGGUCAGCCCGAGCACCGGGCGGACGCACUCUCACCGACACCGGGGUGGCUGCAGGCUGCACCCCCCUCUCAACCACAGCAGGUCCAUCCCCAUGCCGUCCGCCCACUGCUCCCCUUCAGCCACCAGCCCCGUCAGCCUGUCCUCCAGCAGCACCAGUGGCCACGGGUCCACCUCGGACAGCCUCUUCCCGAGGCGAUCCAGUGCCUCCAUCUCUGGCUCGCCCAGCGAUGGGGGCUUCAUCUCCUCCGAUGAGUAUGGAUCCAGCCCAUGUGAUUUCAGGAAUUCCUUCAGGAGUGUCACCCCCGAUUCCUUGGGGCACACUCCUCCUGCAAGGGAGGAGCAGGAAUUAAACAACUACAUUUACAUGGGGAAACAUUCGAGCCUUGGUCCAAGUUGCCAAAACAGGGGUGGUCAAAGGUGGACUCCCACAAAAGCUGAGGAUGCAGACUCCGAUAAAGGGUUUAGGAAGCGGGCUCAUUCAUCAGGUACUUCACCACCUACAGUGAUGCACCAAAAGACCUCUUCUCAAACUUCCGCCACUUCCUUUGCCGAGUACACAGAGAUGACACCGUCUUACCCCGGUGGUCGUUUGUCAUCCAGUAAAAAUUCUGCUUUUGUGCCUACUCACUCGUACCCCGAGGAAUGUUUGGAUCUCCAGUUAGGAGAAGGUAGACGUUACAGCCAAAUGGAUGAUGGUUAUAUGCCAAUGUCACCUGGAGUAGCACCUGUACCCAAUAAAAAUGACUACAUGCCAAUGAGCCCAAAAAGUGUUUCUGCCCCACAGCAAAUCAUCAAUCCACGCCAACAUUCUCGUAAAGAUGGUUACAUGAUGAUGUCACCGAGUGGCAGUUGCUCGCCAGAAAAUGUGAACUAUGGGAAAAUAUGGACUAAUGGGGGCAACUCUAAGCUUUCUGUUGAGAGUAACGAUGGGAAAUUAUCAUGCAGUGAUUACAUAAAUAUGUCUCCUGCAAGUUGCUCAACAACAAGCACUCCACCAGACUGCUUCUUCAAUCCAGUUGAAGAACCUCAUAAACCUGUCUGUUCUUACUUCUCACUGCCUCGUUCCUUUAAACAUGUACAUAGAAAGAAUGAUGAGUCCCCUUUACGGAUUGCUGUAAAUUCAGGCCGUCUUUUGUAUUGUGAGGAUUCUUCCUCAUCUACGAGCAGCGACAGUUUAGGAGGUCAAGAUGGUGGACAUCACUCAGUUAGCUCUGCUAAAAAGGAAUUGUAUGUACCGAUGAAAGGUAAACUUGUACGACCCACUAGACUGUCACUUGAUAACACUAAGGCAAGUACAUUGCCCAGAACACGUGAGCAUCCCCUUCCUCCAGAGCCAAAAAGCCCAGGCGAGUAUGUAAAUAUUGAAUUUAGUGACAAAACCUUUUCUUCUAGUUCAUUGUCACUUGUUGAGCACUCUUCAGUUGGAGGCAUGCAUUCUGUUCGACAAAGGCCACCUGUGUCUGAAUACAUGAAUAUGAAUUCAAGAAUGGACUCAUCCAAGUUUGGUUAUGUAUCAAAACCCACCGUGGAUAUCACCAACUCUGCAACUGCCUGCACAUCCAGCACUUGCAGAAAAGAUAGAGGGCAGGCAAGCUGUGAUUAUGUUAGUAUGCAGCUAGUUAACACCUGUACAGACUUGCUGGAAUCAGCAGUAAGUAACUAUAAAGAGAUGACAGUUGGUGGAGGUAUAACAUCUUCCAUUUCCGUUCUACCUCGGGCAGAAGAGAGCUCAUUGACCACUGUUUCUGAUGUCGUGGCUGGUCCUACGAUGGAUCAGAUUUCCGGAAGGAGUGCCUUCACUGUGCUUAAUCUUGUCCCUAAUCGAAACCAAGGUGCCAAAGUUAUCCGUGUUGAUCCCCAAGGAAGAAGAAGACACAGUUCGGAGACUUUUACUUCCACAGCCAAUGUGACUGGCAUGACCUUAUCUUAUGUUGAUCACGUUAAACGCCAUAGUUCAGUGUCCUUCGAAAAUGUGUGGCUUAACAAACCAGGUGAUUCCCUUGUUGCAGGUGCCAAAGAGCAACCAAAUGAUGCCACAGUGCAGAAUGAUUGUGAAAAUGUUAUGAAUUACAUUGAUUUGGACUUGGUAAACGAUUUUAAAAACAAAGGUUGGACCUCCUCUCAGCAUGUAACCCCUCAUCAACCUCAUGGAAAUACCUCUGGUGGUGGUGAUGAUCUGAAUUCUUAUGCAAGCAUCACUUUCCAGAAACCUGAUGAAAUUGUGAAGCCAACAGAAAGGGAAGAUGCUGUCAGACCUGCUGAGUUUCUCCUGCAGCUUCUGCAUCUGUCCCACAUUCAAGAGAAUGAUAUCUUCUUAACCCUCAGCAAGCCUUUCAUGGACUUGAUGAGCACUUAGAGUUUCAAUAAUUUGUACAGUACAACCAGGACCUCUCACUCUUUCACAUAAAGAAUGGUACAACAAAUCACAAUCACUCCAACUUGCUGCAAGAAACCUCAGGACAUUAGUUUUCUGACUGGAUUGCAUGUUCGCCCAUGUAUAUGUCUGUGGAGCACACAGUGUGUGCACACAUGCUCUACAGCGAAUCUGCCUCUGUUCCUUCAUCAGCACACUCUACUUCAACAAUCUCUAUAAGCAAAUGGGAAAGACUGCCAUCAAUGCAACUCAGAUGCCUAACCUGGACUGGAAUACACAAACAUUUAACCUUGACUUUCACGUGCUGCUGAAACAUUUAAGGUUUUCACUGUAAAUUAUUAAGUAUAGAAGUAUUGAUUUUUAAAAGUUGCUAAUGUUUGGAAAAUACAUAAUAAUAUUUAACAUUUUUGCUUCCUUUAUAUUGAUACUUUUUUGAACUGAAAUGUAAUUUUUUUUUCUGAUGCACACGCAUUACUGAUGUGUCUGAGAUAAAUUUCCAGUUCUGUUAUAAACAGGGAAUUUUUUGUUUAAAACUUGUGAAUAUACGCAGUACGAAUGGACUAUAUUUCAGUUCUUGGAUGAAAGCUGUUUAUACAUGGCAUAAUUCUGAAGUGCAGGCUUUGGUGAAUAGUUCUGUUCAUCAUUAUGGCUAUUGUACUAGUAAUGCAGCCCUCUUGUCUUGGGUUGAUUUGACAAUAAUUUUAUACUUUUCCUCUCUAGGUGAGAUACAUUGCCGUCAGGAGAUGCUGACAUUACUGUACAUGGUACUCGAAUGUCGAUGGAAUUUGAAACCGUUGUCAAAAACAAUCAAAUUUAGUCUUCCUUUUCUUUGUGUAUAUAUAAGCAUAUACUUACAUAACCUGCCCCAGAAUGGACAAUAUUGUGGUUGUAAUUUCUGGAGACUGACUCCUCAUCCCUAAGCAGACAGAGUCAAUGGAAGGAAGGCUGGUUUUCGUGAUGGACUGGGCUCUGUUCACAACUGGUCGUGGGCAGAGCAGUUGCCGUGCCAAGCUGUGAUGUGUCCCGAAAGGAUGCUUUUUAUGUUGCAUCUAUAAAAAUUGCACACGACUGAUGCAGUUCAAAGCAGCAACUCACCAUCACCGUCUCAAGGAUAACUGGAAUGGAGACUGAAUGAUGGCCCAUGUCCCGCGAGAGAAUAAAAACAAGGUGCUGUUUGAUAGCACUGCUAACGGCACUUUCCAACACUUCACUGAUGAUACUGGAGGUUGUACUUGAUGUCCUUAAGAAAACGCCAAGGGCACUGCUUUAUUAUCUACUGCCUUCACCUGUCCUUCUUCAAUGAUUUUUGCACAUUUGCACCCACUGUAGAAUUGUAACCCUAUUAUAUAUUGUAUUUCACUGCUCUUCUGACCAAACGGUAUCAUCUCACACUGCUCUGCAUUGAAUAGAUACAUUUGAAAUCUAGUCUUAAUCUUAUGCCAGUGCUAGGUGUGGAAAUUUAAUUUUUCAAACCAAUUAUUCAUUCGCAAGGAACUCCCGCCUUGACUAGCUUUGAAGCAAUAAUUACUUUUUUACGUCUUGCAAUUCCAAAUUUGUUAUCUGCAUAAC